CAGUAGCCACGGUAAUACAGAGGGUGCGAGCGUUAAUCGGAUUUACUGGGCGUAAAGCGUGCGUAGGCGGCUUUUUAAGUCGGAUGUGAAAUCCCUGAGCUUAACUUAGGAAUUGCAUUCGAUACUGGGAAGCUAGAGUAUGGGAGAGGAUGGUAGAAUUCCAGGUGUAGCGGUGAAAUGCGUAGAGAUCUGGAGGAAUACCGAUGGCGAAGGCAGCCAUCUGGCCUAAUACUGACGCUGAGGUACGAAAGCAUGGGGAGCAAACAGGAUUAGAUACCCGAGUAGUCCCUGUCUCUUAUAA
rnacentral:rRNA from 1 species